rnacentral:lncRNA from 1 species
UGUUGUCUCUCUCUUUCUUUCUCUCUGUCUCUCUCUCUCUCUCUCUCUGUCUCUCUCUGUGUGUCUGUCUUCUGUCUUACUCUCUUUCUCUGCCUGUCUGUCUGUCUCUCUCUCUGUCUGUCUCUCUGUCUCUGUCUGUUUUUCUCUCUCUCUCUGUCUCUCUCUCUUUUUGUCUGUUUCUCUCUGUCUCUCUCUGUCCAUCUCUGUCUUUCUCUGUCUCUCUCUCUCUUUCUCUGUCUGUCUUUCUCUCUGUGUGUAUCUUUGUCUCUCUCUGUCUGUCUCUCUCUGUCUCUGUCUCUCUCUCUCUCUCUCUCGCUAUCUCCCUUCCUCUCUUUCUUUGCAAAAUAAGCUCAAGUAGAUCUAAUCUAAUCCAUUACCAAGGCCUGAAUUCUUAAUUUUAGACAUCCCAGAUUUGAUCUCCCUACAGAAUGCUGUACAGAACUGGCGAAUUGAUUUCUGGACUUGGAAACCUCAUAGAUACUACAUAUUAAUA